GAUGAACGCUGGCGGCGUGCUUAACACAUGCAAGUCGAACGGACCCAUUCUUCGGAAGGGGUUAGUGGCAGACGGGUGCGUAACACGUGGGUGACCUGCCCUGAAGUGGGGAAUAAUUCCGCCAACGCGGAACUAAUACCGCAUAUGUUCGGCAAUUCAGUUUGCCGAGUAAAGCCGAAAGGCGCUUCGGGAUGGGCCUGCGGCGGAUUAGGUAGUUGGUGGGGUAAUGGCCUACCAAGCCGAUGAUCCGUAGGGGGCGUGAGAGCGUGGCCCCCCACACUGGCACUGAGAUACGGGCCAGACUCCUACGGGAGGCAGCAGUGAGGAAUAUUGCACAAUGGGCGAAAGCCUGAUGCAGCAACGCCGCGUGAGGGACGAAGGCCUUCGGGUCGUAAACCUCUUUUCUGAGGGACGAGCAAGGACGGUACCUCAGGAAUAAGUCUCGGCUAACUACGUGCCAGCCGCCGCUGUAAUAC
rnacentral:rRNA from 1 species